AUCACCACGGAUUGCUAACUGCAAAUGCCUAGGAGUUAUACGUUUCACCUUCAGAUCCUUGCUUGCAUUUCCUGCCAGCUCUAACACUUCUGCGGUCAGGUACUCCAAGAUAGCAGCAGAGUAAACAGCUGCCGUUGCACCCACUCUUCCAUGGGCUGUUGCUCUUGACUUCAGAAGGCGGUGGAUUCGCCCAACAGGAAACUGCAAGGAUGAUACAGAAGGAAAUAGAUGGUCAAAUCUUUUAUGUUUAUGGACAACUACAAAUGGCUAGCUCUAAAAAUUAAACACUUUGAUGAAAAUGGGUCAUUCGCUUACAAGUCAUGGGUUAAAGUCACAAAUUCCUAGAACACACUCCUCCCCUACUAGUACACACAAAAGGUAACAAUAAUCAAAUCCUCAACACCAUGAUGGCCAAAUAGCAAAAAUACUACAAUCAGUAGUCAUGCACAAUGAUACACUAUAGUUGUAACCAGGGUCAAGACUAGAACCUACAACCAAGAAGCAACUAUUAGAGAAAUCUUAUGGUGCUCAAACUAUAACUAGUGACAUCCUAUUAGUUACAACUUGGACCCAUUUAUUUGUAUACCAUGUCAUUAAAAAAUCCAUGUCAACAAAAAAUAAAUCUUCCCUCUUCUUUUCAUCCAUGUAAUGAAAAGUCCCUAAAAUAUCACAGCCCAUCCCCCUUCCUCUCUCUCACAUGGCAUAGCUAGCAGCCCUUCCUCUCUCUUGCAUGGCGCAGCCAACAGCCGCCACUCUCAUUUAGGUCAAUCCCAAAACAAAUGCUAUUGAAAUUUGAAAUAUCAAGAGAAUCUAAUUUGAUUGGAAAAAUUGGGACUUGAAUUGAUUAAAUAGUAAUAUUUUAUUGUACUAACACGGGAGAGAUUUGUUCAAAGGUAUACUGGAAUGUCAUUCAAAAACUCCUCUAAUAGUGUCCUCUCAUGAUAUAAUCUGUUCUAGAGCGGCUUUGAAAUCUUAUUAAAAACAUUCAUCUGAUCCCUUUGUUUACUUCUCCCAGAAGCAGGAUCAAGAGAAAGCGGGUGAGGAAGAAGACCCAAUUGAUGUCUUAAAGGCUAUAGGUGAAGUUGGGAAAGGGUUAGUAAAGAGUGUACAUUUUCUCAAGGCUCCAAGGCUCAUGAAUUAAGCCUUACUUUUCUCUAGGCCUAGAAUAGGAAUCAUGAAAUUCCUUGUAAGCAUUCCUGUUUCCUUUUCAACACAGUAGACAAAUCUAACACGACAGUAAGACAGAAAUGUAGUGGUUUGCAGUUGCAAUCUGUAUUUAUGUUUGUUCCGGCAAGUGCAAUUUCUCAGAAUUUAUUUUUUUAUGUUGCUGACAUGGGUUUUUUAAUGACAUGACAUACUAAUAAAUGGGACCAAGCUGUAACUUGUAGGAUGCCACUGGUUAAAAUUUCUCAACUGUGUUAUAGCUGUGUGUAUCUCUCUGAACAUGUGAUCUAAAACAAAGUUUUAAAGUUAGUACGAGAUGAGAUGCAUGUACAACAAGUAGCCUAGGACAUCUAAAAGACAGCACUCAUGAGAAGCAUAUAGAACCAUUUUUUUUUUGUGCAAAUUUAUGAUAAGGUAAGCAACAUAGGCAACACAAAAGAAGUGCAAAUAUAUCCGCAGAACUUUAGAUAACAUCAUUGAUCUAAGAUCAACAAAUAACUGAUGACCUGAAUAACUCUUGGCUCCAUGUAUCUAAAUGCUUGACAUGUUAAUGAGACACAAGUACAACAAGUAGCAUAAGACAUCUAAAAGACAAUGCUCUUGAGAAGCAUAUAGAACCAAAAACUUUUUGUGAAUUUGUGAAGAGGUAAGCAACAUAGCCAAUGCAAAAGAAGUGCAAAUAUAUCUGCACUAAUUUAGAUUGAUUGAUCUAAGAUCGAAAAAUAACUAAUGACCUGAACUUUUGGCUCCAUGUAUCUAAAUGCUUGACAUGUCAUUAUUUAAUCCUUGACUAACUCAAAGAAUCUUUCAUGGGUAUGUGAUAAUGCCUAAGCUACUCCGAACUAAUCACAUUUCUGAAAUAUCAUGCAUGUUACAGGACCAAAAGAGCCACCUGUAAUACUAAACUUUAACAGUCAUUUGGUAAAAAACUAAACAACUCAAUGAUGCUCUUCAGUAACUCAUGAACCACCCAGUUACUCUGGAGAAAAUCGAUACCUUAAAGUCCUCAAAUUUAUGCCCCAUGAAAAAGCAUAAUUGUUCACCAUUCUCAUCAUCCAUUUUAAAAUAUAUACCACCAAACUAUAUUCCUAAAUCACACUUACUCCACCUGACUUGUAUUCAAUUUAACAAAUUUCAUUUCCCCUCUAACCUCAAGCUACCCAAGCUCAAGAAAGUCCAUAUCUGAGUAUCUCAAAGGACCGCUCAAAAUCCCUAACAAAUCAACACCAAUCGAAACUUAGUCAUGAUAAACACUCAGAAAACAUCAAUGAUUGCCAAGGACAAGGAUACAAACUUUGUUUAUACAGGAACAUCCCAAGCUAUAACAUCUAGUUGAGACAUUUUAAUGGAAAGUACUUCUACCAGCCUCUGAUUGUAUUCACAUUAAAGAGAUUUCUGGCAAAAUGUGAAUUAAUCAAGAAAGUAAAUUCUUCGGAAGCCAACGGCUAGUUUUCUUUCAAGAAACUAAAUUCUUCCUUUGUUCACCUUCUCUCCAAUGGCUACUACAUUCUCCUUUGAGCCUAUUUACAUUACAUUUGCUUAUAAUUCUAGUUCUCACUUUUUUCUACCAAAUCCUCGGAGUCAUCAAUGCGGCUGGCAUGAUAAUUUGAGAAAAAUAAAGAAAACCCAAUAUUUAAUCUCAAUUUCAUAUAUUUUAGAUUUCCAAACUUCAAAAUCCCAGCUCCACUAGGCUCAAUAUUUAUCUUGGUCACCUUAAGCACAAGUUCCCCUCAAUUUCACAUAAAUCUCUGUUUAUUUUCUCUUCACAUAUCGAUCACCCAGUUACAAAACCUAACGGUAUUCUUUUAAAAAAAAAUACAAAACAUUACCACAAAACUUCAAUAAAAUCGAUUAACAAAAUCAUCGUAGUUUCUCAUGUCCCAAGUAUUUUAAAAAAAGACUUGCACUCAAAAUCUUCAAUAAGCCCCAGCAAAAACCCAGAAACAAGAACCAAAAUAAAAACCCAUUACGAAAAUAACUAAAAAACACUAAAUAAUCAUAACCCUUCGAGCACAUACGCAAUUAAGAUUAAAACAAAAGAAAAAACUCAAAAAACCCAUCAAAGGAAACAAAAACAAGAAAAAAAAACCUGAAGACCAGCACGCGAAGAGCGAGAGGUGGGUUUCUUCUUGUCUUUAUCUUUAGAUUGGGCUGGAGUUUUGCUUGUUAACAACCCCUUUGCUCCUUUCCCCGACAUCUUCUCUUCCAAAAACCAAACACACACACAGACUAUGCUCUUGUUUUGUUAGAUUUUCUUAGAUUUGUUCUUUUUGAGACAACGCGAGAUGAACCAACAGGAAGCUCAUAUAAAGUGGUAUGUUAAGGUAAAUACCCUGAAGGAAUGGUACAAUUACAGAACCACCAUUGGUUUGUGGAGUUAUAUAUGGAUUUCUUAAAGGGUAGGAAUGGCAACAUGUACAUUUUAUUCCUGGGACCAAUGAUGUGGCAAGAAAAACCCAGUCAGCAGGUGGAUAUUAUAUCGGUUUAAUGGCAAUAUACGUCCCUCAACUAUUAUUCUUCUUUCAUAUUUAACCCUAUGGUCUUAAAGAAGGCAAUUUAGUCCUUUAAUUUUAGAUAUUUUAUCACUUCAGAUCCCUCAAAUGUGUUAAAAAAAUUGAAAUGAUGACUUUUGACUUGAUUGGGUUUGAGUUGGUCCAGUUGGACCCACUAUGAACGUACAGUGAUUACUGUCUGAAAAAAAACUAAAAUAAAAGGAUGAAAGAAAUAUAUCUUUAUAUUUUUAAAAAAUAUAUAUUCAAAGAAAUAUUUAUUUUAUUUUAUUAACAAAUAUAUGUUCAUCUCUUCUGAAUUUGUCUAUUUUAUUAUGAAACAUUAAUCAAAUAUUUUUUUUUCAAGUAUAAUUUAUAAGUUAUCAUACCUAUUUUUUUCAUAAUUCAUCAACAUCUUUUAAUAAGUUUCCUCUUAAUAACUUAAAGAUUGUGAUUUUAAAUUAUUUUUCAUGCCGAAAAGUAUUAAAAUUAUAUUUUUAUUUUUAAAAAAUUAUUUUUGAGAUUAGCAAAUCAAAAUGAUUUAAAACAUAUAAAAUAUUUAACUUUUAAUAAAAAUUAAAUUAAUAUUUUUUUUAUUUUUUAAAAAUUAUUUUUGAGAUUAGCUAAUCAAAAUGAUUUAAAACAUAUAAAAAAUUUAACUUUUAAUAAAAAUUAAAUUAAUUUUUUAUAAAAAAGAUUUACACCUCAUUCUCAAUUAGUAUUGAUAGAAAAAAAGUUCCUUUCCUACUUUAUUAUCCAUCAACAUCUUCCAAGUGGAAAAAAAAUUCUUUUAAUACUUUGAUGUUUCUUUCCAAAACCCACGUUCAAAUUGAUGAACAAUAACUAAUUUUUUAAUAAAUAUUUUAUUAAAAUUAGAUUUUGUAAUAAAUAAUUCAUUAAUGAUGAUAUAACUAAGAAUAUUGCGUGUUUUUUUAUCAUCAAAACCCCAUGUGAAGAAUACCCCUAUAACAUAAAGAUCCUAUCUAUAGCCUCGAAUUUUCGAAAAAGCAAAAGCUAUAGCAAGGUUUUAUUUAAAAACAUGGGUAGAAUCUUGGUGUCCUGGUGUCCAACAAAAUCCCUUUACAACUUCUCAUUAAAAGCAUAUUUAUUUUUGUAUUUUAAAAUAUUUUUUUAUUUUAAAUUAAAAUUUUUAUUUUUAAAUAAUUUUGAUGUGCUAAUAUAAAAAAUAUUUAAAAAAUAAAAAAAAAACUAUUAUUUUAAUAUAUUUCCAAACAAAAAUUACUUUAAAAAACAAUUAUCACAUUCUCAACCAUUCUAAAAUAAAAAAUAAAUUCAGUCAUAAAUUUUGUUUUGCAUGUACAGACCUCAUCUCUAUGCAUGCAAUGAACUAUGCCUCCUAGACACUACAAUUUUAAUUUUAUACUAUUAAACAUCUUGGCAAGGAAAAAAAAAAAAAACACAGAAUGCAAGGGUUUAGAGAAUAGUCACACACAAGGUAAAGACAUCAAAAUAUACACUAAUAAACCUCAGAUAUCUAAAUUAAUAAUAAUAAUAAAACAAAUUAUAAUGCAACUUCACCACCAUCACACGCCACCUUCACCGUCACAUCGCGACCUUCACCACGAGCUACUUGUUAACGAAUAAAGUGAGCGCCAAUCUUGAUGUGCUUGGUUCGAUAGUGAAAUACAAUAUUCUUUGCGUAGGGACAAGAACAGAGAGGCCAAGCAUCUUGAAUAAAUUGACAUACUACAUGAGUUUAGGUAUGGUGGAAGCAAGGGAUCUGUAUUUAGCUUCAGCAGUUGAUCUAGAGAUGGUAGCUUGUUUCUUAGCCCCCAAGAGAUGAGAUUAUGACCAAUAAAAACUGCAAAACCAGUGGUUGAUCGUCGAUCAGCUACAGAACCAUACCGAAGAAAGAGUCAGGACAAUUUAAAAUAAGGAUAAAAAAACUCCUCCCCAACUAAGAUCCUUUUGUCUAAUCAGUGUUCUUGUUGUUUGUUUGGAAUUUUUAAUAAAAUAAUAUCUACAAAACAUUCUUAAUUAAUCUAAUAUAUAUAUAUAUAUAUAUUAAUAUUAAAUUAUUUAAUUUUUAAGAAACUAAACUUCAAAGAAGAAGAAGAAGAAACUAGCUUAUUCCAAGACAUUCUUUUGUUUAACCUAUUUUAAAACCUCUUAUAAAACGUGAAAAUAAAUUAUAGAGAGUAAAAAUGAAAGAAAAGUAAUUGAAAAUAUAUGCUAGAACCUUCCUUUUCAACCUAAAAAUCACAAUUUGCAAGCUGUCACAAACGAAGCAAUGCAUUGUUCAAUUACACAGCAAUCCAUCCUAUGUGUUCUUAAUAAUGCAAAGGACCGAAAUAGCAUUAUUCCUUGGAGGAUUUGUUGAUUAGCGACUUGUGGAUGUGAGGGAUCACACCACCACCAGCUAUGGUUCCUUUUAUAAGGGUGUCUAGCUCUUCAUCACCACGGAUUGCUAACUGCAAAUGCCUCGGUGUUAUACGUUUUACCUUCAGAUCCUUGCUUGCAUUUCCUGCCAGCUCCAACACUUCUGCCGUCAGGUACUCCAAGAUAGCAGCAGAGUACACGGCUGCCGUUGCUCCCACUCUUCCAUGGGCUGUUGCUCUUGACUUCAGAAGGCGGUGGAUACGCCCGACAGGA
rnacentral:lncRNA from 1 species